rnacentral:rRNA from 1 species
GACGAACGCUGGCGGCGUGCUUAACACAUGCAAGUCGAACGGAAAGGCCCUGCUUUUGUGGGGUGCUCGAGUGGCGAACGGGUGCGUAACACGUGAGUAACCUGCCCUUGACUUUGGGAUAACUUCAGGAAACUGGGGCUAAUACCGGAUAGGAGCUCCUGCUGCAUGGUGGGGGUUGGAAAGUUUCGGCGGGUGGGGAUGGACUCGCGGCUUAUCAGCUUGUUGGUGGGGUAGUGGCUUACCAAGGCUUUGACGGGUAGCCGGCCUGAGAGGGUGACCGGCCACAUUGGGACUGAGAUACGGCCCAGACUCCUACGGGAGGCAGAAGUGGGGAAUAUUGCACAAUGGGCGGAAGCCUGAUGCAGCAACGCCGCGUGCGGGAUGACGGCCUUCGGGUUGUAAACCGCUUUCGCCUGUGACGAAGCGUGAGUGACGGUAAUGGGUAAAGAAGCACCGGCUAACUACGUG